rnacentral:lncRNA from 1 species
ACCCAGAUGCAAUCGCACGGACGGCCUAGAUGCACGCGCACGGACGGCCCAGAUUCAAUCAAAAACGGAACGCCCAGAUUUAAUCAAAAUGGACGGCUGAGAUCAAAAGGCAAAAGGGUAUAAAUACAACCCCCACACCUGACCACAAAAACCCUAACCGCCUGCCCUCGCCGGAGAAGACGAACCAGACACCGGAGGAGCCGGCCGCCGCCGCACUGGGGAGUUUUCUGACCGCCGAUC